UACGUAGGGGGCAAGCGUUGUCCGGAAUCAUUGGGCGUAAAGGGCGCGUAGGUGGUUCUGUAUGUCUACCGUGAAAGCGUACGGCUCAACCGUAUUUUGUCGGUGGAAACUGCAGGACUUGAGGCUGGGAGGGGCUGGUGGAAUUCCCUGUGUAGCGGUGAAAUGCGUAGAGAUGGGGGAGAACACUCGUGGCGAAGGCGGCCAGCUAGACCAGUUCUGACACUGAGGCGCGACAGCGUGGGGAGCAAACAGG
rnacentral:rRNA from 1 species